ACACAUCCAGCUAAUUCUCUGCACACAUCGCAAGAGAUAUAACAGAGGGAAGAGUUGCUGGGAUGUAGAGAUGGACCAUAGUUAAUGCGAAGGCUGAGAGGCUGAGACGUGGAACCAACCAAUUAUUGGUGAUGUGAGCUGGCCUUUCUACACCAGCAAUCGCCUUGUGGAUGGAAGUCAGAGUUUUUGAACAUGAAGUAGAAAAUGACUCCAUAUGUUGCUGGAACAGCAAGAUUAAAAAGAGAAGACAAUAGCUUACAAGAAAGAUGCUUGUCCAUCAUUUGACGGGAAUCAGGACGUUGAAUGGAGUCUCAAUCAGACAAAAUAUAACAGAACGUGAAUAUGUGAAGUAUCAUAUGCAAGUGGACAGGAAGAGAAUGUAAAAAUACUUCAAAGACCAGUGUUUCAAAUUUUAAACAGAAAGGUGCAGCUGGUCUGUAUUUCUCAGAUGGCUUUUCAAAAUGCAUUUGCUGAAACUA